AGAUGCAGGAGGAGAGCGCCUACAACAGGCUGCUCAAGGAUCUGGAGCAGAUGCAGGAGGAGAUCGUCAACAAGUACCGCGACAAGGUGCUCAAGGAUCUAGAGCAGAUGACGGGAGGAGAUCGUCAACAAGUGCCUCCACCUGCCGGUGGCCAAGGGCUUCGCCGACCUCGAACCCUUGCCGGAUGCUCCUCCACCUCAGGAGGAGGAGAAUCGAAGGAUGCUGCUCCUGGACAUGGUACCUUGGUAUUCAGGGUAGGCUCUUCUACUUCUACAUAUUAAUUAAACCAAGUUAGAUUCCAGAUGAGACCAAAAGAAAACAUCAGACAUCCUCAUUGUUAAUUUAUACAGGACAUCAGCUGAUUUAUUCAAGACAGCAUUUGAUCUUAUGGUCUCUGUGACUCUUUUUGUUGGGCGAUUUGACAUGCGCAUGAUGCAGGUAAGGGGUGCUUGUUCUUGAUGUAAGGUGAUCCAAUGUAAAAUCCACAGUAUUUUCCCCUGUAAAGUUGACCUCCAAAAUGUUGUACCUGUUCAUUUAAUGUUGAUACUUUGUUAACUGCAAUGUCUCUGCAUCUUUGUACAUCUCUGUGUUCAAACAUUUUUUAUUUUUCAAACCAUUUUUUAUAUCCUUCUGUAGGCUGCAAUGAAAGGACCAACAGAUGACGCGCAGAAUGCUGACCUGUUAUAUGACUACUUCAAUGAAAGGGAAGACCUUUGGUUUGACUUUGUUGCAGACACUGGUGAUGGAGGAAAUUCAUCAUAUACAGUUGCUCGACUGUUAGCUCAACCAUCUAUUAGGACUGUAAUUGGUGGCUCUAUGCAUACUCUUCCACGUGGGAACUUACUUCUUAUCGGUGGAGAUCUCGCGUAAGAUUUUAUCAUAUUUAAUUAUACAUGGUUCUUCUCUGCAGUCAAUCUACAAGUGCAUAACUGCAUAUUCACAAUGCAUCUCUCUGUUGACUUUUUCUUGGCAAUUAGGACUGUACAAUUCACUGCAUCUUGAUACCUUGGAAAUUAAGUCACUUAAAUUCUAACUAAGUGUUGGAAGAUCUAUUUAGGCUGUUAACAACUUGGUUGAGCUUUUGUCCUAUAUUUGGAAGAAAGUGUUAUGUUAUUGAUCUCUGUGCACCACAAUAUUUUGCAUUUUGCAUCUUCCCUGCUUAAUUGAUAGGCAGAGCUACCGCAUUAUGCUCUGAAACCAAAGAUUACAUUAGUCGCAUCCAUAUGAAUCAUGAUAUUCUUCUUCUUCGGAGAUAAAGAUCUGAUAUUAUUUUUGAAUAUAUGAUUCUUUGUGCCUGGUAUCAGUUGGAAUUCUCCAUUCCAUCAGGCCCAUAUAGCUGAACCUGUUUCUAGCUCUUGUAUGGCCUGUAGCCAGCAGACAUUUCAAUCUGCUAUUGCUUCCACCCUGAGAUCCAUAUCUUUAUUGCCCAUACAUAGUGGUACAAUCUAUAAACUAGACAAGAUUUAGCCCAUUAUAUUAGUGCAUUGUAGAUCUGUCAUCUUGGAAUCUUGGAAUUUGCAGGUACCCAAACCCUUCAUCAUUUACAUAUGAGAGGCGCUUCUUUAGGCCCUUUGAGUAUGCUCUGCAACCUCCACCUUGGUAUAGGGCUGAACAUAUAGCUCUGGAUAAGCCUGAGCUUCCUCCCGGUGUAUCAAAGAUGUCUGAAUAUGAUGGGCCACAGUGUUUUAUAAUUCCUGGAAACCAUGGUCUGUUAACAUUCUUGAUCAAUCUAAUCUAUCUAAUUUGACUUUAUUUCUUGUGUACUUGAUCAAUUAUGUAAGGAAUAUGAUGCGUGCUUGUAUUGAUUUCUUAAUUGUGACUUGUUUUUAACAGACUGGUUUGACGGGCUGCACACAUUUAUGAGAUAUAUAUGUCACAAAAGCUGGUUAGGUGGAUGGUUUCUGCCUCAGAAGAAGAGCUAUUUUGCAUUGCAGCUUCCCAAGGGUUGGUGGAUCUUUGGUCUUGAUUUAUCUCUUCAUGGUGACGUUGAUGUGUACCAAUUCAAGUUUUUUGCAGAUCUUUGUCAGAAAAAGGUGCAUUUUUCUUCACGUGCUUGCCCCUUUUUCUUCACUUGCUUGCCCCCCCCCCCCCCCCCCGAAAUGGUAGCGGGAAUUUGCUUCAUUUGUGCCUUUUUUUUUGGUUUCAUGUGGUUCAACAUGCAGUGAUUAAUUGCUUUAAGUCUUCAAACAUGUAUGUUUAAUAUUAGGAUGUAUAGUAAAACAAAAAAAAUGUUGACAAAAGAUUCUUUGCAGUCUUAGGCCCUUUUGCAUUCUAGUUGGAAAGAUACUCAUGUAUGUUUCCAGAAUAUCUCUUGGAAGUUGUGGCUAAUAUUUUAAUUUCCAGAUUUGAUUGAUCCGCUAUAAUACUAAAGUUCUGCAGGUUGGGGAGAAUGACUCUGUGAUUGUAGUGACACAUGAGCCAAACUGGCUUCUUGAUUGGUACUGGAAGGAGACUACAGGCAAGAAUGUCUCACAUUUAAUUCAGGAAUACCUGAAUGGAAGAUGUAGACUUCGCAUGGCGGGGGAUUUACACCAUUUUAUGAGGCAUUCUGCCACUCGAUCAGAAAAGCCUAAUUUUGUGCAACACUUGCUUGUCAAUGGAUGUGGUGGCGCCUUUUUGCACCCAACACAUGUUUUUAGAAACUUUGAGAGGUUCUCUGGAACCACCUAUGAAUGCAAGGCAGCUUAUCCAUCUUAUGACGAGUCUAGUGGGGUAUGUUACUCCCUAUGUUGAAGUAUUUUUUUUUCUUUUUAGCUUAUUGAUCAGCUUAACAUGCUUGUGUGAAUUGUUAGAUGAGCAAGAUCUAAUUUACAAAAUUCACAGAUUGCACUGGGUAACAUACUGAAGUUCCGCAAGAAGAAUUGGCAGUUUGAUACUAUUGGUGGUUUUAUCUACUUUAUAUUGGUGUUUUCAAUGUUCCCACAGGUCAGUUACAGAUUCCCAAAGCUGCCAUUUUCUUUAAACUAUUAUCCUUUCUCGCACUUCAUAAUUAGUAACUGUUGGUGUUUGUUUGUAAUAGUAAACUUGAACGUUUAAAUUCCUUCCUUUUUCCUCAUUUUUUUUACAAAUUGAAACCUUGAAGCACUGGACAUGUCUCUAUUUUUCAUUGUGCAAUUGUUCUAAUUUGUCUUUAAAUAACUGAGCUCUGCUUUAUUACUAGUCUCUCUAUUAAAUUAUUUAAACAUCUCUUGAAGGCCGUAUAACUUUCCAAUCAUGGACCAUGCAAUUUAUUUCAAAAUAUUCAUAUAUCAACAUGAACAACCAACAUCGUCAAAGGGCUGAGUUCAACUCAUCCCCUCAAGGACUAAACAACCGAGAACAGGCUAAUUAAUCAUCAUCAGUUGGAUUGUACCAGUCCCUGGCUGACCACCAGUAGCAAAUUAUUUUCCUAGGCAGAAUUUACUAAGUUCUGCUUGUCAAUUAAGUAGAAUUUGCACAUCCUUUGCAAGUUCUGCUUGUCAAUUUAGUAGAAGUUGCACAUUUUUUUCUUUCUUUGAACCUGCCCCUAAACGUGCUGACCUCUGUUGUGAAUUUAUUGUUUGAUGUUCAUGUUUACCUUUUCUUAUAAUGUAACUGAUGUGCAGUGAUGCUUAUACAUCUUGAAGCAUGUUCAUUGACCCAAAGUCAGUCAGUCAAUAUUGUUCAUAACCAGCCUCAGAGGCGUACUUUGCAUCACAUAAAUCAUCCUGUUACUUUUUUUGAUCUCUUGGUUGGCUACUGGUUUCAGUUUCUUGUUAUUGUUGUUCUCUUCCAUUUUUUAACUGCACACUCAGUCACCUAUUAUUGCCUGGAAGUUCAAUCAAUUUGUACUCAUAUUCUUACUUAUAUUUCUACUUGUUCCAGUGUAAUCUUGUUCACAUCUUCAAUGAAGAAACUUGGUCUGGGCGUGUGAAAAGCUUCUCAAGUACAAUAUGGAGUGCUUUGCUUUAUAUUUUUGAACACUCUUAUGUCUCUUCAGUAGCAAGUCUAACUUUAUUGAUGGCAUCAUAUUCAUUUGUACCAUCGAAACUCUCACGGAGGAAAAGAGCUAUUAUAGGCGGCCUCCAUGUUUUGGCCCAUUUAACUGCAGCUCUACUUUUAAUGUUGCUGCUGGAGUUGGGCAUUGAAAUUUGUAUCCGGAAUCAUUUAUUAGCAACUUCAGGUAUGCCAUACAAUACUGUGUUUCCUAAAUUCUUGCUGUAGAUGAUAGAUAAAGAUCCAUUCAAAGGUGAAAGCUGUGAAUACAUUUUUUUUGUAGGUUAUCACACUCUAUAUGAAUGGUAUCGGUCCAUGGAAAGUGAGCAUUUUCCAGAUCCUACUGGUCUUCGUUCUCGUUUGGAACAAUGGACGCUGGGACUGUACCCAGCAUGUAUAAAAUACCUUAUGUCGGCCUUUGAUGUCCCUGAGGUAAUAAGACUUUCUGGAAAUGCUGCAGUGCACCUAUCUAAACGUCUUUUGAGGAUUGAAUUUGCACUUGUAGUUUAAAUGUGAUCUACUUUAAAGAAUUUAAGUAUGUAGUAUGAGCAAUAAAUUAUCACAUAAUGGAAGCAAAGGAUCAAAAUCUUACAGUUUAGGUUUUAUGUGGUACAGAUUAAUUUGUUAAAGUUUCUCUCCUUUUUUACCAAGCAUCUAACUGCAUAUACCAUUGCACAGGUCAUGGCAGUGACAAGGAUAAAUAUCUGCAAGAAUGGGAUGAUGUCCCUUUCACGAAGCGUUCUGAUCAUGUACUACACCUCUGUGUUCAUCUAUUUCUGGAUUUUCUCGACUCCAGUUGUUUCCCUCAUAUUUGGUAGCUACCUAUACAUUUGCAUCAACUGGUUCCACAUUCAUUUCGAUGAAGCCUUCUCAUCACUGCGCAUCGCGAACUACAAAUCUUUCACGAGGUUUCAUAUUAAGAAGGAUGGUGAUCUGGAAAUAUUUACUCUUGCAGUUGACAAGGUAACAGAUUAACCCGCUUCUAUUGCUCUGAUUUGCUUAGUUAGAUAUAUGUUGCCUUAUAUAUAUCUGUAGAUUGUUCUUCUGAUAUGCAAAGCAAAAUGCAUAUAUAUUUUUGCUCUUCUGUGAGCAAACACAGGUCCCAAAGGACUGGAAGUUGGAUCCAAGAUGGGAAUCAGAUGUAAGAGGGCCUCAUCAGCUCAGCCAUGAACGGAAACACCCAAGCAAGUGGAGGUCAGCCUCAUCACCGGACCCUGUCAGAUCUGUACGGGUUGUUGACCAUUUCACCAUUGAACGAACAAGAACCCCAGAUAUGGAGCCCUCUUGUUAAUUCUGCACGCCGUUUUUGUUGUGAGGGGUUGCUAGCUAGAGAAAUUAACAAUAACUGUUGUUUCUUCUUUUCUUUUUGCUUUUAUUUUAAAAAAAAACUGGGUCUAGGUGACUUAGGUUGACAUAGGUUAUCUGCCUUGCAUCCACUUUACUGGCCUUACCUGUAUAGAUAUUCACCUGUCUAGUAAAUGUAUGGAAUGUUUACUGUUGCAACACAUUGUCAAAUCAUGGACUAAUUAGGCUUAAUAGAUUCGUCUCGCCGUUUAGCCUCCGCUUAUGUAAUGGAUUUUGUAAAUAGUUUACGUUUAAUACUCCUAAUUAGUAUCUAAAUAUUCGAUGUGACGAGGAUCUGGAGCAGAUGCAGGAGGAGAGCGCCUACAACAGGCUGCUCAAGGAUCUGGAGCAGAUGCAGGAGGAGAUCGUCAACAAGUACCGCGACAAGGUGCUCAAGGAUCUGGAGCAGAUGACGGGAGGAGAUCGUCAACAAGUGCCUCCACCUGCCGGUGGCCAAGGGCUUCGCCGACCUCGAACCCUUGCCGGAUGCUCCUCCACCUCAGGAGGAGGAGAAUCGAAGGAUGCUGCUGCUGAUGGCGAGUCUCAACAUUGACAGUCAAAUAUAGCUACAAGCUAGCCUGUUACAAGUCUACAACGUAACUGUUUUGGCUGUAUCUGCAUGCUUUUGUGUGGAUUUCUUUGAUUAU
rnacentral:lncRNA from 1 species